rnacentral:rRNA from 1 species
UACGUAGGGCGCAAGCGUUGUCCGGAAUUAUUGGGCGUAAAGAGCUCGUAGGCGGUCUGUUACGUCCGCUGUGAAAACCCAGGGCUUAACCCUGGGCUUGCAGUGGAUACGGGCAGACUAGAGGCAGGUAGGGGAGAAUGGAAUUCCCGGUGUAGCGGUGAAAUGCGCAGAUAUCAGGAAGAACACCCGUGGCUAAGGCGGCUCUCUAGUACGGUACUGACGCUGAGACGCGAAAGCGUGGGGAGCGAACAGG